GAAGGUGUAAGUUAAGUUUAAACUUUAUGGUUCAUGUUCAUAUAAUAUGCCUUUGGGCGUUGCCUUUU
rnacentral:tRNA from 1 species